UUCGCAAUGCCCGAAAGGGUGAACGAGCGACGCCGCGUGGAGGACGAAGGCCUUCGGGUUGUAAACUCCUGUCGAGGGGGAGGAAGGGGCAACCUUGACCGAUCUCUGGAGGAAGCACGGGCUAAGUUCGUGCCAGCAGCCGCGGUAAGACGAACCGUGCGAACGUUAUUCGGAAUCACUGGGCUUAAAGCGCGUGUAGGCGGAUGGGAACGUCGGCCUUUGAAAGCCCCCGGCUCAACCGGGGAAGGGGAGCCGAAACGACCGAUCUGGAGGGACGUAGGGGGACCUGGAACUUCCGGUGGAGCGGUGAAAUGCGUUGAGAUCGGAAGGAACGCCCGUGGCGAAAGCGAGGUCCUGGACGUCUGCUGACGCUGAGACGCGAAAGCUAGGGGAGCAAACGGGAUUAGAUACCCCGGUAGUCCUAGCCGUAAACGAUGGGCACUAAGUAGAGGGGUUUU
rnacentral:rRNA from 1 species